GUGCUCGCUUCAGCAGCACAUAUACUAAAACUGGAAUGACACAGAGAAGAUUAGCAUGCCCCUGUGCAAGGAUGACACACAAAUUUGUGAAGCGUUCUUCCACAUUUUU